GCCGCCCGAUGGUUAGGACACUCGGAUUCUAAUCGAGUGAUCUCGGGUUUGAAUCCCGAGUACGGCA